UUAGAUUGCCAUAAUCCCGAGAGCAAUGUAAUUGUAGCUUAUGUUGGGUGUAAAUGCCAUCAUAUUUGGUUUCUUGAUUAUAUUUUACAUGUAGCUCAAAUGGCUGGUACUUUUCUGGAGUUUGCUGGGAUGUACUGGUCCCAUUUCUUCUCUUGAAGAAGAGAGGCCAUGUUUCUGUUGAACAAAGUGCUUCAAAAAUUAUCCCCUUAAUCGCAUGAUCUAAAAUUUGAACUUGCACAAAAUGAGCUGGAAGUUAUAUAAGGGUUGUAUGAGCUUGUAAAUCACUUAAGGUAAGAAAUAUUUGGUUAGGCUAUGUGUUCAGAUUAGUUUUGGAGGCUGUCCCAGCAAAAAAAGAGAAGGCUUUG
rnacentral:lncRNA from 1 species